GCCUGGGUGGCUCAGUCGGUUAAGCAUCUGACUUCAGCUCAGGUCACGAUCUCACAGUCUGUGAGUUUGAGCCCCACGUCAGGCU
rnacentral:tRNA from 1 species